UUUGCUUUGUAGGAAGGGCAAAUUAAUCUGCAUAAAAUUGACUUCUUUACAGUUAUUUUUGUCAGGAUAACAAAUAAUAUUACCUUUUAUUUUCUUCAGUGUUUUAGAUUUCAAAAGCCUGGUCGGUCUAAUUAAUUCUAUCUUUAAAAGGAAAGAAAAACAAAAAACAACUUUAUCUUAAUACUAAAACCAUUUUAAAGCCAUCCAGGAGUUUGAGGAAGCCUUAGGAGUUUCUAUUUUAUGCAGGGCCAGGCUUGGACUAUUAUGAAUGUUGCUGAACACUGUUAAUCAAGCUUACACAGCUAUUUUGAUGGCAAACAAUUAGAACUCUGCAGCUCUACCUUGCAAUUAGCUUCAGGGAUAUGGACCUCAGCACCAUAAUAAUGAAAGAGACCGCCUUCAAGCACAGUAAUGAGAUUUACAAUUAUGACCCCAAAUAACCCCUGAAUAUAACCAAUCUGCAAAUUUG